rnacentral:rRNA from 1 species
CGGGGUGGAGUAACGACGUGGAGUAACCUGCCUCACACUGGGGGAUAACAGUUAGAAAUGACUGCUAAUACCGCAUAAGCGCACAGUACCGCAUGGUACAGUGUGAAAAACUCCGGUGGUGUGAGAUGGAUCCGCGUCUGAUUAGCCAGUUGGCGGGGUAACGGCCCACCAAAGCGACGAUCAGUAGCCGACCUGAGAGGGUGACCGGCCACAUUGGGACUGAGACACGGCCCAA